UACGGGGGGGGCAAGCGUUGUUCGGAAUUACUGGGCGUAAAGGGCUCGUAGGCGGCCAACUAAGUCGGACGUGAAAUCCCCAGGCUCAACCUGGGAACUGCGUCCGAUACUGGAUGGCUUGAAUCCGGGAGAGGGAUGCAGAAUUCCAGGUGUAGCGGUGAAAUGCGUAGAUAUCUGGAGGAAUACCGGUGGCGAAGGCGGCAUCCUGGGCCGGUAUUGACACUGAGGCGCGAAAGCCAGGGGAGCAAACGGG
rnacentral:rRNA from 1 species